UUUCUCGGAGACUGAGGCAUGCGAGCAGAGAGCAGCACCGCAGCUCCCCGGCACAGCUGAAAGCCAAGAAGACGGCAUCAUGUGUAACCUUCAAUGUGGAGACCCGCAGAUGAAGAUGGCAAGUUUCAUCUAUGAUUGGCACACCUGAUAAGAUGUAAGGUCAUGACUGCAUACUACAGAUGGCCAAAUUUUGGUUUUCACCUUUUGGACCUUAAGGUGCUUCAGAAGUCUUGCUGCGUUCAGAUGAGAUGGACCACAUGUAAUCUUGUCUACUGUGCUGAUCAGGAGGGGAGUUCAUUGCAAAGAUGAGCAGUUGGAGCAGCAGUGAAUCAAAAACACUCUUGGAGUUUACUUUAUGUGGUUAUGGGGCCAGCUGACUGAUCAGUCUAUGGUGUGGCCUCGUUUGAAAGUGUGGCUGGAGGUGAUGGAUUCCCAUGAGGAGGAAAUCUUGGGUUAUCUGCCAUAUUUUUGAGGGAAAAUUUGAUGCUUUAAUGUUAAUAAACUGUUAAAGAAAAA